UGCCAGCCGCCGCGGUAAUACGGAGGAUCCAAGCGUUAUCCGGAAUCAUUGGGUUUAAAGGGUCCGUAGGUGGUUUAUUAAGUCAGAGGUGAAAUCCCAUAGCUUAACUAUGGAACUGCCUUUGAUACUGAUAGACUUGAGUUAUUGUGAAGUGGUUAGAAUGUGUAGUGUAGCGGUGAAAUGCAUAGAUAUUACACAGAAUACCGAUUGCGAAGGCAGAUCACUAACAAUAUACUGACACUGAGGGACGAAAGCGUGGGUAGCGAACAGGAUUAGAUA
rnacentral:rRNA from 1 species